rnacentral:rRNA from 1 species
AUGAGCCGCCGCCUUGUCCCCGUCGACAGACGCAUCUUGGAGCAGAACAUCAAGGCUCGGUACCACGCCGGAGACAUUGGCACCCAGGAUGCACUCCACCUGUUUGACGAAUUGCUCCAGUGUGCUGGGUCCUCCUCGAUCCGUGCCAUCAACUAUCUCGUUACUACUGUCGGCCGUGAUUGCCCUGCGCUCGGCGUCUCCCUCUUCAACCGCGUCGCAAGUGCCAAUGUGGCACCAAACAGUAUCACGUACACCAUCCUCGUCGACUGCUGCUGCCGUGCUGGCCGCUUGGACCUCGGUUUCGCUGCCAUGGGCCACAUCAUCAAGAUGGGAUUUGCAGCAGAUGCUAUCGUCACUUUCAGCCACCUACUCAAUGCCAUCUGUGCGGAGAAGAAGACCAGCUAUGCAAUGGACAUCGUACUCCGAAUAAUGCCCAUGUUUAACUGUGUUCCGAACAUUUUCUCCUACAGCAUUCUUUUCAAGGGUCUCUGCAACGAGAAGAGAAGCCAAGAGGCUCUCGAGCUGAUUCAGGUGAUGGUUGAGCAUGGAGGUAGCUGCCAACCUAAUGUGGUGUCCUAUAGCACCGUAAUUGAUGGCUUGUUGAAAGAGGGUUUGGUGGGCAAGGCUUACAGUCUAUUCUGUGAAAUGCUACAGAGGGGAAUUUCGCCAAAUGCUGUGACCUGUAGUUCAAUCAUCUCUGGCAUGUGCAAGGCUCAAUCAAUGGACAAGUCUGAGGAGGUUCUUCAACAGAUGCUUGAUAGACGAAUUCUGCCAGAUGUUACCACAUAUAAUAGUCUGAUACAUGGAUAUUAUUCAUCAGGAAGGUGCAAAGAAGUUGAUCGGAUUUUCCAGGAAAUGUCUAGAAAUGGUGUUCAACCAAAUAUUGUAACUUACAAUAUACAGAUGGAUUAUCUUUGCAAGAGCGGAAGGUGCGCAGAAGCUAGGAAAAUAUUUGAUUCUAUGAUCGGUCUGGGCCAAAAACCAGAUGUUACUACCUACAGUAUUCUGCUUCAUGGGUCUGCCAUGGAAAAAUCUUUUCAUGAGAUGCAUUGUCUCAUUGAUUUGAUGGUGGGAAAUGGUAUCUCACCAGAUCAUCAUGUCUACAACAUACUCAUAUCUGCAUAUGCUAAAGAAGAAACGGUUGGUGAGGUAAUGCAUAUAUUUACAAAAAUGCGGCAGCAAGGACUGAACCCUAAUGUAGCAAACUAUGGAGCGGCAGUAAACUUGCUUUCCAAGAUUGGCCGAAUGGAUGAUGCUAUGUCCCAAUUCAAUCAAAUGAUAACUGAAGGGUUAGCUCCUGAUAUCAUAGUUUUCACCCCCCUUAUUAGUGGUUUCUGUUCUUGUGGCAAAUGGGAGAAGGUUGAUGAACUAUUUUCUGAGAUGUUGGAUCGCGGCAUAUGUCCCAACACAGUGUUCUUCAACACAAUUAUGGACCGCCUUUGCAAAAAUGAAAGGGUUAUGGAAGCCCAAGAUCUCUUCGACCUGAUGGUACACAUGGGUGUGAAGCCUGAUGUGUGUACUUAUAGCACACUGAUAGGUGGAUACUUGUUCGUUGGUAAGAUGGAUGAAGUGAGCAAGUUACUUGACAAUAUGGUCUCAAUUGGCAUGGAACCAGAUGUUAUCACCUAUAACAUACUGAUGCACCUCAUAUACCUCAUAUAUAUCCAUCUUGUCUGUUAUGUCCCAUGGACAUAUCUCAUU